rnacentral:ribozyme from 11 species
GCACGAAAAAGACGAAAGAAAAACAUGUGAACACAAGAGAUGGAAAGGGAUCUGCGGCAACUCCGUGGUGUUGCCCGUUUCUUCUGCGUAGUCCUUUUCUUGCUUGAUGCAUUUCUUCGUUCAUUUGUUUCUUUGUUCAUCGUUCGUCCUGUCUUUUUACUUGCACGUCUGAGUGCAUAGAAUGGAAUGGAUGGAUGGCUGAGUGAAAUUCAAUUAAGGCUUU